AACACCUUAAAAUUUCAAACAAAUUUAUUUUGAUAUGGGGCAGGACCGCCUUUCGCAGUAAUUACAGCUUAAAUUCUACGAGGUAUAGAUUCGUACAAAGUCUGAAUUGUUUCGAAAGGAAUUUUUGUCCAUUCUACAGCUAAAACAGUCUCCACUCUAUCUCUAACUUAAUACACUAC